rnacentral:rRNA from 1 species
UACAGAGACCUCAAGCGUUAUCCGGAAUCAUUGGGCGUAAAGCGUACCGAUAGGUGGUUGAAAUAGUCUUGGGUAAAAGCCAGAAGCUUAACUUCUGAGUUUGCUUAAGAUACUUUUCGACUAGAGGGGCAAAGAGGUGCUUGGAACGAAUGGUGUAGUAGUGAAAUGCGUUGAUAUCAUUCGGAACACCGAAAGCGAAGGCAGAGCACUGGGUGCCACCUGACACUGCUAGGACGAAAGCGUGGGUAGCGAAUGGG